UCUGAACUGAUCCUGGAAUAGAAGAAAGACUUAGUGGGAAGACUAAAGAAAUCAGAAUAAAGAAAAAAGUGUAUCAAAAUGUGAUUAAGAAUUUACAGAUCUUGAAGAGAAAAGGGUGCUUGCAUGCUUUCUUUUGGUGCCUAAUGGAUGGACUAUGAAGAAAUUCAUCUUGAUGGAACUCAGAGGCCUAUUACUGUGAAAAAAAUAUACUUGAGCUCUGUUGACAGGAAAGAUGCUAUUUGUCUUUAUCAACCUGAGUACUUCUAAUACAGCCACCAGAGACUAGCUGGAUUGAUAUGAAUUAUUUUGAAGAUAUGAACAUCUAGAAGACUUUGAAGUCCUUUUUGAUUUUCCAAUGGACAUUGGAAGGAAUUUAAUUUUUCUAAUUAGAAAUGCAUUU